rnacentral:lncRNA from 1 species
AACUCUGAAUUUAGCAAACACGUGAACAAAUUCAUUGAAGCAUCAGUCAACGUUUUAGACUCAUCUUUAUUCACAAACAUUAUCCCAUCCUACCCUUUCAAUAUUAGAUACCUCCAACUAACCCCUUCAAGCAACACCAAGAAAGACCCUUUUAUCAAAGGGUAAACUUUGUGUCACCAAAAAGUACCUCCAAUUUUGUGUCACCCUAAACCCAACCCAUAACCCCACCAUACAUCAUAUCCCCAUCACAAGUUUAUUAUGUACUAGCAUAUAUUUUUCUAUUUACGCCCACAAAUUUUUGUAGCAUUCAUCAACACGUUUCCUGCACUGCAUUAGAACGUGUGACACUUGUACACUUAUCUUUCUUUUGUUUUGGCAUGUUACACUUAUCUUUCUUUUGUUUUGGCAUGUGCCCAAGGAUGGGAUCAAUGUCUACUUGUAAUGUUGCAUCAUCUCAUGUUAUAGCCUCACAAACAGGGAAGACACUUAGAUACUUCAAAGUUGUGUUUGUGGGGACCAAAUAAUGGAAAAUAAAUGGCCCCUACUCGUAAUCUCACUCCAAUCUAAUAGUUAGAACUUGAUAAAAUUGAGAAACAGAAUAAAUACAAAAGGGCCAGCCACACAGAUUGGUCGCCAUCAAAAUCUGUAACAUAAUUUCUGUCAAAGACUAUGAUUUGUAAAAAAAUACAUUAAGUUAUUGGAUAUGCAAUAGAUUAUAAGUAUAAUUUAAGGGAAUGGAGUAUCUCAUGUACAAGAAGAUAAGUUAUCACCUCCUCCCAAUGAAAUCAUGAAUUUUACUGGAUAAAGGAGAUAAGUUAUCUCAUGAUAUGAGAAGAUACAUUAUUCUCAUAAUUUAAUUAAGUUCAAAACAAGGGAGUGACAAUCUAUUGCACUUGCGGUAUGAAAUG